UACGAAGGGGGCUAGCGUUGCUCGGAAUCACUGGGCGUAAAGCGCACGUAGGCGGAUUGCUAAGUCAGGGGUGAAAUCCUGGAGCUCAACUCCAGAACUGCCUUUGAUACUGGUGAUCUUGAGUCCGGAAGAGGAGAGUGGAAUUCCUGGUGUAGCGGUGAAAUGCGCAGAUAUCAGGAAGAACACCCGUGGCGAAGGCGGCUCUCUGGGACGGUACUGACGCUGAGACGCGAAAGCGUGGGGAGCGAACAGG
rnacentral:rRNA from 1 species